CCGGGUGGCUGCAGUGAGGAAUAUUGGUCAAUGGCCGGAAGGCUGAACCAGCCAAGCCGCGUGAAGGAUGAAGGUGCCAAGCAUUGUAAACUUCUUUUGUCAAGGGACAAAAUCAGGCUCGAGAGCCUGACCGCGGGUACUUGAAGAAAAAGCAUCGGCUAACUCCGUGCCAGCAGCCGCGGUAAUACGGAAGGUCCGGGCGUUAUCCGGAUUUAUUGGGUUUAAAGGGAGCGUAGGCCGGCUUUUAAGUCAGCUGUGAAAGUCCGCGGCUCAACCGUGGAAUUGCAGUUGAAACUGGAGGCCUUGAGUGCACACAGGGAUGCCGGAAUUCAUGGUGUAGCGGUGAAAUGCUUAGAUAUCAUGAAGAACUCCGAUCGCGAAGGCAAGUGUCCGGGGUGCAACUGACGCUGAGGCUCGAAAGUGCGGGUAUCAAACAGGAUUAGAUACCCCAGUAGUC
rnacentral:rRNA from 1 species